ensembl:lncRNA
GGCGAGCUGGCAGAGAUCUCAGGAUGGGCGGAGGCGUCAAAACAAAACGCAAGCAUGGCACCGACAACACGAAGCAAAAACCAUUCACCCAACCAAGCGUAAAAAUAAAACCCACGGUACUCAACUAGCACAUUGUUGUGCUAUAAAUACGGUCUGACUGCAUGUUUCCUGAGCCCCACCCAGCGCGAGGGUAUACGAUAAACAAGGCCACGAGGAGGCUCGGGUGGGAGCAUCAGGCAUGCGUGGAGGUGGCGCCGAACCGGGGAUGGGGAUGGAGGCGUAGCGGAGAGGAGCGCUGCAUACCAAACAGGUCUGGACAUACACACCGCCGUGUGUCCACCGGGGGAGAGGUAUGCAUGGGACGGCACGACCGCACGUUAGGAUGGAGCAACCCGCCUUCAAACCCAAUGGAACACAACUCAGUCGGUGUCGCCCUCUUCACAGAGGAUUGAUGAGGAGGCUUUUCUGGCUCAGUGUCUCCAUGUUUGUAAAGGACUUCAACUUGACAGCGCCUCCAAAAACCAAGAAAGCAGAGCAGCAUGGAGAAUGUUUCACUGAUUCACAGGCUAGGUUACACGACGUUAGGCCGCCGCUUCCCGCGAUCAGCGUCCAAUGGCUGCUAAUCUAAUCUCAAAGCCACUAAAAAAAAUAUCUCCUCUGGGCGGCUAAUUCCUUGGACUCAGGUGACGCCGAAUGUACGAGUUUCUUUAAAGACGUGGGACUGAACCAACAGGUCCUUCCGAUAUACCAUCAGUUAUCGGAAGAAUGCCUGACGUAUAGCGUCUUUGUCAGAACGCCUAUCAUGGUCCUGUCAUGAUCACACAACCAUUCAAGUAUGCUAAAGGUAUGAAGGAAAAGUAAAAGGGGCAACAGGACGCCUCAGCCCUUAUUCAGCAGUAUUUACACGAGAAAUUAUAAAAGAACAACACGGGCAGCACGUCACUAACUCACUUAAUUAUAGAUAAGGAUAAUGUUCAAAGAAUUGCCAGAUAUGAUAUAGACAUUUGAGACUGCUAAGAAUAUCACCGAGGGAAUUAUGAGAUGGAAGGUCGGGAAUUGGCGCCUCAAUCUCAGGGCAAAGGGACAUGAACUGCCUGGUCAGGCAGACACAGAGGAUGCCUCUGGUUACAUAACAGGUUCAGUUGAUGUUGUUUAGCAAUGGAAAAAUCGAUAUGAUGUAUAAAAGGGAUAAUUGAGGUAAAAAUGCAAUGCGAUGAUAUCAUUUAGAAUGAUUCAUCGUUUUUCCUCCCCUCAUCACAAACCCUUGAGUCUCAUAGCGGUGAGGCAGAGGAGUGGAUGACCGAUCAACCAUCACUGGAUGUAACCACUGGGUCGUAGUGCCACAUAACCACUGGUAGCAGCCCCACUGUAUCCCAGUGGCCACCUUUGCCUCCGCUCCAGUUUGGGCCGGGGCUUAUCUCACCCUGAUGAGAACCACGAGCAGAAAGACAUAGGUAAACAAGGAGUGGCUGUUGCUCGGUGGCAGACGGAGGGAACGGGCCCGUAAAGACGGCCGUCUGGUGGGCGGGCAGCGGCAGGUGGGCCUCAGUCACUAUAGAACGGCCUGUGCGUUUAACAGGCUGCUGGACGAGCUCGACAACAAGCCACAAACCAACCUGCAUUCCCACGUAUGCCGAACAGACAAAGGGGCGCGCCGCAUAACGUCUCCUUCGUAACGUAAUUAUCCUACACUGAAUACAUCGAGGUGACAGCAGACAAACUGCACAUCACCGCGGCCAGACUAGGACUAAUUCUCAGCAUUGUUUUCUACGUGAAACCAGACCCAGAUGCCCUUCACGGUGAGAUGAGCUGAGGCAUGGCGGUUUAUAAUUUAAAGCUCAGAAGAAAGUCAAAUGACUGUUUACUGGAGACACGUGUUCCACCGGGAGCUCUGGGAGUUAUUUGAAUGAAAGGUGGAGCAGAAAGGGAGGUUCACUUUAACAGGAGAACGAUCAGGCCUGCCUGCAUGUUCAUCUCUGGGCCAGAAUGACGGCUGUGGUCCCUGACCCCCCGAUCAGAGCAUGAUAUUAUGCUGCAUUAUAAACACUUUUUGUUCAGCUGCACAUCUGAAGUCGAUGCGUCCGUCAUGCGUCAUCGUUAAAAAGAGAAACGACGUAAGCCAGAAGACAUAAUGGUAGAUAGGGAUAGUGUCUACUGCUGUCAACUGAUUUUAAGAAGGUUUUAUGACGGGUUGUGUAUUUGUUUUCUGCCUCACGUCACUUAUUUAGGGUUUGUUUUAUGGUUAGGUCUGCUACCUAAGGACCUGGAAGACAGAGACGGCUAGUGUUUUGAAACAAGUUCAAUGUUGUUUUAUCGCUAGUCUUUACCUGAGCUGUGAUGGUUUUAUCUUUCAGCAUCAAGAAAAACGGAUUUAGGAAUGUGCAGAAUUAGACCGGCUGAAUAAAUGUAAUGUACUGUCGUUAUGCUUUCUCAUCUUCUAUUCCAUCCAUCAAUGGAGUGUGUGUGUGUGUGUGUGUGUGUGUGUGUGUGUGUGUGUGUGUGUGUGUGUGUGUGUGUGUGUGUGUGUGUGUGUGUGUGUGUGUGUGUGUUUGCCUGCGUCGGUGAGCACAUCUUGUUGAUGAAACAUAAUGCAAAGUAUUUCAUUAAAAACACGUCUUUCGCCCGGAUUUUCCAUUUCAGUUGCAGUGAAACCACCAUGUGCUGUUGUCGUUUCUUAGCUUUUUUCCUCCUGCACACUGUGACCACCACAAAACCAACAUUGUGACAUCUACAUCUCAGCAC